AAAUAUCAAAAUGCCAGGAGGGAGCAGAUUAUUCUCAGCGAGUAUGCCAAACAGCUUGCAGGUUAUGCAGAUACGUCCAAGAGUAUCUCCAAAUACUUUCCUUAAUUUCUUCCAUUUUUUCAGUACACUGAUAGUGAUUGGGUUGUCAAAAAAUGAGAUUGGGGAGUGAUAAGUUUUUCAACAUUUUCGUGCUGAGCUAAAACAUUGACUUGUUGGCUUUUGUCUUUCUACCAAAGCUGAACAAGUCAAAAAACAAAGAUAAGGGUCCCCUGAAGUUAACAGCAGCUGCUACUUGCAAAAUUUUAUUCCAAUCUUUUGCUUGACUGAGGAACUUUCAAGCUUCCACCACCUGAUUUUCCAGUAAUUAAAAGUGAGCAGCCAUAACCAAUCAAGUAUCAAUCACCCCAUGAACAUAAUCACUGUCCUCAUCAUAACUCUUUACAAUUCCAUUGAUUCCUAGCCAGCCUCACUUUCUCUUAUCAAACUCAAACAUGAGGCUAACACUGAUCCUCCUCUACUUUUCACUCUCAAUUGUUAUACUCUCCACCUAUCUCCAAGCUUAUGAUCCAGUUGAUCGUUUCACCAUCAAUUGCGGCUCCAGCGGCAACUCCUCCGACGGUGGCGAAAGGACAUGGAUGGGGGACACAGACUCAAAGCUAUUAUCUCCUGAACAAAUCUACACAACAGUCACAGCUCCAGCAAACACACAAGCCCCUUCCAUCAAGCAAAUCCCCUACGCCACAGCUCGAUUAUCCCGCUCCCAAUUCAAUUACUCCUUCCCAGUCACCGCAGGCCCCAAAUUCCUCCGCCUCUUCUUCUACCCAGCUUCAUACUCAGGCGGCUUCAACCGCGGAGACGCUUCCUUCACCAUCAUAUCCAACGGAUUCACCCUCCUGAAGGACUUCAACGCUUCACUCACCGCGGAUGCUGAAGGACUUGACAUCAUCUUCAGAGAAUACACCAUCAACGUCAACAACGGCCAAAGGCUUGACUUGUCCCUCACUCCAACCACAAGCUCCUCCUAUGCUUUCAUCAAUGGAAUUGAGAUUCUAUCCAUGCCUAGUGACCUCUACUACACACCCUCCACUGACCCAGGAUUCAAGCUCCUGGGUAGCAGCAACCUCUACAGCGCUGUAACCAGCACUGCACUGGAGACAAGUUACAGAAUCAAAGUUGGAGGCCAAACAAUCUCACCCAACAAAGACACAGGCUUAUUCAGAAAGUGGGAAGGCAACGAUGAAGAUUUCUUAAAAACACCGACCGCAAUCGAUUCUGUACCAGCUGACUUAAAGGAUGCCAACAUCACCGUGAGCCCUGAUUACACAGCACCCAAGGACCUAUACAGAACAGCACGCGACAUGGGGUUGAACAAAACUCAUAACAAAAGGAUGAACCUGACUUGGGAGUUUCCUGUUGAUGCUGGCUUCACCUACAUGCUCAGGCUCCAUUUCUGCGAGCUUGAUCCUGCAAUCACCGACACCAGCGACAGGGUUUUCUUCAUCUACGUGACGGGUAGGGUUGCAGAGGAUCGCGCUGAUGUUAUGAAAUGGGCCAGCAAUCAAAGAGGGGUUGCUGUUCAUAGAAACUAUGCUGUGAUUGUUCCAAAGAAUGAUGUUAAUCAGAAAAAGGUGAAUCUCUCGCUCCAGAUGCAUCCUUAUGCAGAUAACGCAGAUACAAAAUUCAGCGAUCCCUUCUUGAACGGGCUAGAAAUUUUCAAGAUCAGCGAUGUAGCCACCAGCAACCUCGCCGGACCUAACCCGGAUCCGCUUCAGACUCGGCCUAGCUCGCAAGCUCCGAGCGCGGGAAAGAAAAGUAAAAGCUCAACGACGCUGAUCGGCGUCAUCGCCGGGGUGGCUUCCGGCGUCGUUUUGUUGCUGGUUGUCAUUUGCUCCGUCGUCAUCCUCCGCCGGAGAAAAACGGGAACGGAAACGGAAGCAACAGCAAAAGCCUACACGGAUCCGAAGUCGUCGAAGUGGGGCCCGCUGUCAAUCUCGACGACGAAGUCGUCCAAUACAAACUCAUCCCUACCGUCGGAUAUCUGCCGGCAGUUCACAGUGGCGGAGAUCCGCUCCGCGACGGGGAACUUCGACGAGAACUUCAUCGUCGGGGUUGGCGGAUUCGGCCACGUCUACAAAGGCUACAUCGACGGCGGAUUAACUCCGGUAGCCAUCAAGCGUCUCAAACCAGGCUCCCAGCAAGGCGAACACGAGUUCAUCAACGAGAUCGACAUGCUCUCGAAGCUCCGCCACCUCCACCUCGUCUCCCUCAUCGGGUACUGCAACGAGAGCAACGAGAUGAUCCUCGUCUACGAUUUCAUGGCGCGUGGGACCCUCCGCGACCACCUCUACAACACGGAGAAUCCUUCUUUAUCAUGGAAGCAGCGGUUGCAGAUCUGCAUCGGGGCGGCGCGUGGGCUUCACUACCUCCACACCGGCGCGAAACACACGAUCAUCCACCGUGACGUGAAAACCACGAAUAUUCUGUUAGAUGAGAAGUGGAUGGCGAAGGUUUCGGAUUUCGGGUUAUCGAGAAUAGGGCCCACUGGGAAUGUAAAAACCCACGUCAGCACGGUGGUGAAGGGUAGUGUUGGGUAUUUGGAUCCGGAGUAUUAUAAACGACAGCGUUUGACGGAGAAGUCUGACGUGUAUUCUUUUGGUGUGGUGUUGUUUGAGAUACUGUGUGCGCGUCCGCCUCUGAUUCGGACCACGGAGAAGAAACAGGUGUCGCUUCCUGAUUGGGCGAGGUUUUGUUAUAAUAAUGGGACGUUGGGUGAGAUUGUGGACCCCGCGUUGAGGGGAGGAUUGCGCCGGAGUGUUUGAGGAAGUUUGGGGAGAUUGGGGUGAGUUGUUUGUUGGAUGAUGGGACCCACAGGCCGUCCAUGAAUGAUGUUGUUUGGAUGCUGGAGUUUGCGUUGCAGUUGCAGGAGAGUGCGGAGCUGCGUGAGGGUGGUGGUGGUGGUGAGGUGGUGGUGGGUGGGAAGAGGGAUGAUAGUGGUGGUGAUGAUAUGUUUAGUAGUGGGACCAGUGUGGGCCAGGUUUCGGAUUUUAAUAAGGAUAGUAGUGGGGUGAGUGUGAGUACUGCUAGUAGUGGAACUGAUACUAGUAGGUUGAUGACUUCAGGGACCGUUUUCUCUGAAAUUAUGGACCCAACCGCACGUUGAGAGGGAAAAAAAAAAAAAUCAAAUCCAGUGUACCUUGGUUGAUAUAGAUUCUUAGAAUUUAUUUGCCAAUUUUUGAAGCUGUAAUGUGAAUUUGUUUUAAGUUGUAUAGGAGGAAAUGAAUUGCAUUUAUUCUCUAGCUA